UUAAGCGACUAAGCGUACACGGUGGAUGCCCUGGCAGUCAGAGGCGAUGAAGGACGUGCUAAUCUGCGAAAAGCGUCGGUAAGGUGAUAUGAACCGUUACAGCCGGCGAUGUCCGAAUGGGGAAACCCAGUGCAAUUCGUUGCACUAUCGUUAACUGAAUACAUAGGUUAACGAGGCGAACCGGGGGAACUGAAACAUCUAAGUACCCCGAGGAAAAGAAAUCAACCGAGAUUCCCCCAGUAGCGGCGAGCGAACGGGGAGCAGCCCAGAGUCUGAAUCAGCUUGUGUGUUAGUGGAACGGUCUGGAAAGUCCGACGGUACAGGGUGAUAGUCCCGUACACCAAAAUGCACAGGCUGUGAACUCGAAGAGUAGGGCGGGACACGUGGUAUCCUGUCUGAAUAUGGGGGGACCAUCCUCCAAGGCUAAAUACUCCUGACUGACCGAUAGUGAACCAGUACCGUGAGGGAAAGGCGAAAAGAACCCCGGCGAGGGGAGUGAAAAAGAACCUGAAACCGUGUACGUACAAGCAGUGGGAGCACCUUCGGGUGUGACUGCGUACCUUUUGUAUAAUGGGUCAGCGACUUAUAUUCUGUAGCAAGGUUAACCGUAUAGGGGAGCCGCAGGGAAACCGAGUCUUAACUGGGCGUUAAGUUGCAGGGUAUAGACCCGAAACCCGGUGAUCUAGCCAUGGGCAGGUUGAAGGUUGGGUAACACUAACUGGAGGACCGAACCGACUAAUGUUGAAAAAUUAGCGGAUGACUUGUGGCUGGGGGUGAAAGGCCAAUCAAACCGGGAGAUAGCUGGUUCUCCCCGAAAGCUAUUUAGGUAGCGCCUCGUGAACUCAUCUUCGGGGGUAGAGCACUGUUUCGGCUAGGGGGUCAUCCCGACUUACCAACCCGAUGCAAACUACGAAUACCGAAGAAUGUUAUCACGGGAGACACACGGCGGGUGCUAACGUCCGUCGUGAAGAGGGAAACAACCCAGACCGCCAGCUAAGGUCCCAAAGUCAUGGUUAAGUGGGAAACGAUGUGGGAAGGCACAGACAGCCAGGAUGUUGGCUUAGAAGCAGCCAUCAUUUAAAGAAAGCGUAAUAGCUCACUGGUCGAGUCGGCCUGCGCGGAAGAUGUAACGGGGCUAAACCAUGCACCGAAGCUGCGGCAGCGACACUAUGUGUUGUUGGGUAGGGGAGCGUUCUGUAAGCCUGCGAAGGUGUGCUGUGAGGCAUGCUGGAGGUAUCAGAAGUGCGAAUGCUGACAUAAGUAACGAUAAAGCGGGUGAAAAGCCCGCUCGCCGGAAGACCAAGGGUUCCUGUCCAACGUUAAUCGGGGCAGGGUGAGUCGACCCCUAAGGCGAGGCCGAAAGGCGUAGUCGAUGGGAAACAGGUUAAUAUUCCUGUACUUGGUGUUACUGCGAAGGGGGGACGGAGAAGGCUAUGUUAGCCGGGCGACGGUUGUCCCGGUUUAAGCAUGUAGGCUGGUUAUCCAGGCAAAUCCGGAUAAUCAAGGCUGAGGUGUGAUGACGAGGCACUACGGUGCUGAAGUAACAAAUGCCCUGCUUCCAGGAAAAGCCUCUAAGCAUCAGGUAACAUUAAAUCGUACCCCAAACCGACACAGGUGGUCAGGUAGAGAAUACCAAGGCGCUUGAGAGAACUCGGGUGAAGGAACUAGGCAAAAUGGUGCCGUAACUUCGGGAGAAGGCACGCUGGUGUGUAGGUGAAGCCCCUGCGGGUGGAGCUGAGACCAGUCGAAGAUACCAGCUGGCUGCAACUGUUUAUUAAAAACACAGCACUGUGCAAACACGAAAGUGGACGUAUACGGUGUGACGCCUGCCCGGUGCCGGAAGGUUAAUUGAUGGGGUUAUCCGUAAGGAGAAGCUCUUGAUCGAAGCCCCGGUAAACGGCGGCCGUAACUAUAACGGUCCUAAGGUAGCGAAAUUCCUUGUCGGGUAAGUUCCGACCUGCACGAAUGGCGUAAUGAUGGCCAGGCUGUCUCCACCCGAGACUCAGUGAAAUUGAACUCGCUGUGAAGAUGCAGUGUACCCGCGGCAAGACGGAAAGACCCCGUGAACCUUUACUAUAGCUUGACACUGAACAUUGAGCCUUGAUGUGUAGGAUAGGUGGGAGGCUUUGAAGCGUGGACGCCAGUCUGCGUGGAGCCAACCUUGAAAUACCACCCUUUAAUGUUUGAUGUUCUAACGUUGGCCCCUGACCGGGGUUGCGGACAGUGUCUGGUGGGUAGUUUGACUGGGGCGGUCUCCUCCCAAAGCGUAACGGAGGAGCACGAAGGUUAGCUAAUCCUGGUCGGACAUCAGGAGGUUAGUGCAAUGGCAUAAGCUAGCUUGACUGCGAGCGUGACGGCGCGAGCAGGUGCGAAAGCAGGUCAUAGUGAUCCGGUGGUUCUGAAUGGAAGGGCCAUCGCUCAACGGAUAAAAGGUACUCCGGGGAUAACAGGCUGAUACCGCCCAAGAGUUCAUAUCGACGGCGGUGUUUGGCACCUCGAUGUCGGCUCAUCACAUCCUGGGGCUGAAGUAGGUCCCAAGGGUAUGGCUGUUCGCCAUUUAAAGUGGUACGCGAGCUGGGUUUAGAACGUCGUGAGACAGUUCGGUCCCUAUCUGCCGUGGGCGCUGGAGAAUUGAGGGGGGCUGCUCCUAGUACGAGAGGACCGGAGUGGACGCAUCACUGGUGUUCGGGUUGUCAUGCCAAUGGCACUGCCCGGUAGCUAAAUGCGGAAGAGAUAAGUGCUGAAAGCAUCUAAGCACGAAACUUGCCCCGAGAUGAGUUCUCCCUGAGACUUUAAGUCUCCUGAAGGAACGUUGAAGACGACGACGUUGAUAGGCCGGGUGUGUAAGCGCAGCGAUGCGUUGAGCUAACCGGUACUAAUGAACCGUGAGGCUUAACCUU
rnacentral:rRNA from 1 species